AAAUUGAAGAGUUUGAUCAUGGCUCAGAUUGAACGCUGGCGGCAGGCCUAACACAUGCAAGUCGAACGGUAACAGAAAGCAGCUUGCUGCUUUGCUGACGAGUGGCGGACGGGUGAGUAAUGUCUGGGAAACUGCCUGAUGGAGGGGGAUAACUACUGGAAACGGUAGCUAAUACCGCAUAACGUCGCAAGACCAAAGAGGGGGACCUUCGGGCCUCUUGCCAUCGGAUGUGCCCAGAUGGGAUUAGCUUGUUGGUGGGGUAACGGCUCACCAAGGCGACGAUCCCU
rnacentral:rRNA from 1 species